ensembl:lncRNA
GUCGCGAAGAGUCAGACACAACUGAGUGACAUCACUUUCACUUUUCACUUUCGUGCACUGGAGAAGGAAAUGGCAACCCACUCCAGUGUUCUUGCCUGGAGAAUCCCAGGGACGGGGGAGUCUGGUGGGCUGCCAUCUGUGGGGUCGCACAGAGUCGGACAUGACUGAAGAGACUCAGCAGUGCAUGUGAAAGCCCAAGUCCAGUCUGUAGUCCAUAUGGAAUAUUGCAAAGCAUUUAGCUAUUAUUUUCCAUUUUUGUAUUUCUAGUACAUCAGCAUAGACUCUCGCAUUUAGGAGAUAUCUAAAAUGCUAGUUAAAUUAAUGCAGGGGCUGGGUUAUCCUCUGGAUCUCUGACUAAUGGGUUUAUCCCUUUCAUCCAUCUCCUUAAAGUAGAAUCAAGAAUUGUACCCAUUGCUGUCAUACAUUGCCUAUCCAAAACCAAUUUCUGCCCUAGAGCUAUUUGACAGAUUUCCAAAAAUAUGGAUUCUUUCAACUAAAAUUAUUGUUAACAUGAAAAAGUAUAUUGUUGGGAGAGCCUCUGCUUUUGGCUUGGAUUUUGAAUCGCCAGUUCUCAUUUAUGUUGGUUGUGAUGACACUCCUCCCCAAAGCUGGUCAUUUUUUCUGAAACUAAAUUACUCAGUAUUUGUCUCUUUCCUGUAUACCUACCUCUUAAUCUUAGCAUGCUCUAUUAUCUUGUUGCCUCUGUUGAUGGAAACAUUUUUCAAUAUUGCCUUGAAGCGGAGACAUUCAAAGGUGCACAUGGAUUUUCAGAGUCAGGAGGAUCUGUGCCAUCUGCUGCCUUCUUUUGAGUUUGUGGCUGCUGAAGGGGAGGCCCAGCAUGCUUUCUGCCGGCCAGUUAUAAGGGAGGUGACUGAUUCUGGAAUGAAUUCCCGUGAUGACUGCCUGCUGGCAUUCACUUCUCCCACCCGUCGCCAAGCCUGUGCAUGCAUGUCCCUCAGUCAUGUCCAACGCUUUGCCAACCCCAUGAACUGUAGCCCGC